ACUUAUUUGAAGCAAAUGAGUAAGCCAGGCUGUUAUCUGAGAGUGGAGAGUUCUGGGCAGAGGAAACAGUAAGAGGCAAGACCUUGAGGUUGAAACAGCAAGAAAGCCAGCAUCGGAGGAGGCGAGGUCCAAGUGGUAGCCAGGGGACAGUUUAUUCAGGACCCUACAAAGACUUUGGGACCCUUUUGGUGUGAAAGAGGCCAUUGGAGGGUUUUGGAUGCAGGCAGACAACAAGGAAAUUCCAAGGGUUUUAGGAGCUCUGUUCCGGAAAUGGAGAUGAAGACUAAAUACGUAUUCCUCGUUAUUGUCAAAAACGGAACUCUGCACACUGAGUAAAACAAAGUAGACAGGAUAGCUGAGUUAGAGGAACAAGGAAGUCCAGGGAUGGUGUGAGCAGACUUGGCAUUUAUGGAUUGGCUGGUGUCUGGGAAUUGGUUGACAUCCUCUGCUGAUUUCCGAGGCAAGCUGUAAAUCCUUUCAACUUAUGUUAGUUUUGAGGACGCUUCAGUCUGGACCCCUGGAGGCUAUUUUUCUCUUUUCUUCUUAUCAAUAACUUAGGUAGUCACACAAAUUACACUAUCUAUUAUUGGAUUAGUCCUCAUUUUAUUAGAGAUUAAAAUGUUGAAUAAAAUGAGGGUGUGUUCCAUAGGUAGAUGUUUAAAUCCUGAGAAUCAUGUUAUACUGGCAAUAAAGUUUCCAUUACAUUUCAAGGUUUAAAACUUCAGUCCUAACAAUGACAGCUUUUUAUCUCUUUGGGUGGCACUAAAAUGUCAGAGGUGUUCUGGUUGAAUCUGUGGAUUAGGCAGCUCUUCCUGCUUGAAGAGUUUGGAGGUUUGGAUAAUGAACACUGAACAUAAUGAUGCUACCGAUGGCCUACAGUGAGGCGUGGUGACCAACUCUGCCAUGGACCCUGAAGGGAGGCCGCUCUUAGGAAGUGGUCCUCAUGGUGAUCACUGUUGAUCUAAUGAGCUCUAAUGGUGCCACCACAGCCAGGACAUCUGCUGGAGACAGAAUCCAGUCCAAGGCCAGCCUCUCCCAUCACCUUGCAACAUCAUAGGACACAGGAAGAUGGAGGCAGAGAUUGGAGUGAUGCAUCUACAAGCCAAGGAAAUAUCAUGAUAUAUGGAUAUAUGUAUGUGUGGGGGUAAACAUAUGCAACAAGCAACUCAGAGUUAUGGUAAGUCUAUGAAUUAAUAGGGUGAGAAGAAAAAUAGAUACUAACUUUUCCUUUUGAGACACAAAGAGAAACAUCUAGCUAUGGUGUAGGUUUGCCUAGCCUUUUAUGUAACACUUCUUUCUGUUUAUGAUUUUGGUUCUGAAAAUCAUUUUCCUCUCUGUGUAAGAAAGGAAAGAAGAAAGAAGAAAGGAACAUUUCCAUUCUGUGUAAGAAAUACACACGGGUAUGAGUGGAACCCUUGUAACCUGGACUCAGGACUGUUAGAUCCCAACAGGACUGCCCUGUUUCUGGAUGUUAGAGGUGGAGAGUGGAUAGGUAUAGAUAUUCAGAUCCAAAGGAAGUGUUAUUUUGCCCUCUAAAUCCUUUGGGCACAGAUAUACUUAUAUACUUCCACUAAUACCAAAGUUUAAACUCUCUCCAUCCAAGAAUUUGUAGUUUUCCUUCUAUUUAGUAGAAAGGAUUUUUAGAUACAUCUUUCUUACUUAAAACUCAUUUCCCCCAUUUUCCCACUGGGUUUUAAGAUAAAAAGCCAACCACUUUUCUAUUUUGGUAGGUUGGUAUUUGGAACAAGUACACAGUGCUCCUAUUUUAACUCUAUUUUGAGGCCUUCUUUUUUUCUCAAAAGAAGCAUUUUUAAAAGAAAAAUUUUGCUUGCUUGAGUGAAUGAUUUACCAUCCAGGCAAAAGAGCAAGGAAACUGCUCACGUUAAAAUCUCGGAACUUUCACAGUUCUGGUGCACCUCUGAAGUUUAGCUCUUAGAACUUUCGAUAGUAGCCUUUUCUACACAAUUACCUGGAGCCUAAAAUGAAGCAAUACUAUAUAAGCACAUGCAUUCCUAUUUCUAGGAUUUAAACAGUAACGCACCCUGAAAAACUAUGUUAGAAAUUCAUGUUUAUAAGCUAUCUACAGAUAAGUAUUCCGAUUCUAGAGGUACACCCGUUAAAUAUUCUUAUUUUACAAUAUUUACACUAAUAGGUACUGCUCAUACAUACAGCUAUUUAUACACACGCACACAAACAUACACACACAUGGACAGAUUUUUUUCCAUAAUUUUAUUUCCAUCACUAUACAUGAUACACAUAAAAUAUUUUAAAUAAAAAUUAUCAAGUCAGAAUCAAUGCUCAGAUUAGCUUCAGUUUAACCAGCUAACAAACUAACGACCCUCACAUAAAAGAAGACUACAACCACAGAAGAAAUUCAUCUAUAUUUAGACUGAGAUAUGUCUCAUGGAUUUCAUUGCAAAAAUACUCUUAUGAAGGCCAUUAUUACUUUAAAUUCUGUCUUUGAGCUUUUAAACUGGUUAAUUGCAAACUGUUUUCCCACUUCCUCACCAAAAAUCAUAAAAGCUUUGAUACUUGGGUUAUUAAAUAUUUAGAACCCGAAGAUCUUAAUAGGAGAAGAGCAAUUAUUAGAAUCAUCAGAGAAAUAUUCAACAGAAUGUUAUACUACAAAAAUGACAAUAGUUAUAAGGUACCAUCAUAUCAGUUUGUCCCCAGUGAUCUAUGUUAAAAUUGAAUGAGGAGAGAAUGCAUACUCAGCUUGGAAAUAGAGGACACUCAGCUGCUCCUUCGCUCUUGAUCUUCUUUCUUAUUUCUUUGAUAGUAAAACAUAAUCAACUAAUACUUUGCUUGGAAGUGGCAACAUUUUAACUUUACUUUGUGUGGUCCUUGGUUGUGCUUGGGAACAGUAAAUGAAUGUCUUCAGAGCUAAGAAGAGAAAGGAACUGGAAGCAUAUUAACAUUCUCAAAUACAAAAGUAUGAAAAAGGUGCAAGGAACCCACAAUGGAAAUCAGAGAAAGAUUUACUUGAGAGAACAUUAGAAAGUAGGAGGCCAGCUAACAGAGUGUGCAUCAGGGGAAACUAUGAAGUCCAUGGAGAACGUCUUUAUGUUGUUUACAUCUCCCAGCCAUGUAGACUCAGGCUUCCUACAUCAAACGCCCACAGCCCCUCUCCAUAGUCUUUUCAUAGUUCUUCCUUCCUAACUGAAAAGUACCCACUUUGCUCUAUCUACUCCUCAGAGCUCUCUGUAGAUAACUUGCCAAAUUGCUCUGUGUCAACUUAACAACUACAAAAAAAAAAUCUAAGCAUCAAAUACGUGCAGGAUACUAAGUGCACAAAAAUUACCCCAACGCCUGGGCUUCCUUCCAGGUAUCAUGUUUAAUGGUGACAGCAUUUCCAUUAGUUCCUCUAAUAGAGGGGAUUUCUGGACAGAUUAAAAUAACAAAACUUUGGGAGCUUUUUUGGGGAAAAGAUAUCUAAAAUCAGGUAUGGCUUUGAGAUAUUCUUUGGAUUGCCCUUUACAUAUAAAUCUGUUAAUUUUAUGUAGCUUUGUUCACAACUUAGACUUUGAGAACACAAGAAAAUCAGAUCGCCUUAUGGUCCUCUAAUCAUGACUUCUGUUUCUGCGUUAGACUGGGUGUGAAAAAUCAGGAUUCUCAGGCAGGUUAAAGGAGUUAGGGAUUAAUAAGAGAGUUUUCCAUCCUGCAAAUUGAUCCUUAAUUUCUUAUUUGAUGUUCUCACAUAGAAAUGUUUUUUCUCCACUCUCUCUAAGAACAUGAUGACCUCAAAUACAUAGCCUGUUCGACUUGACUUCUAAGAAUAAUGACACACACCUAUACCCAACCAAAGGUAAUAAAUGACUAAUAGGAGAUAUGCUUUACAAUUUCAAGAUAGCAAUAAAAACUUGCUUUCAUUUUCAAUUUGUCUGGAACUGAGAAAGUUGAAAAUGUGUGUAAAUAAAUCAUUAUAAAAAUUUUACCUCAUUGAUCAUUUAAAUUAUGUCUUCAAAAAUUUGAAAUUUCACCAUUUUAGAGAUCAUGUGCAGGAUUCAGGCACUUUAAUUCAAUAACGGUUUUAAUAUGAUAGCUUUUUUACUGAAGAACAUUAAUUCCUUUCAUUAAACCUAUCAAUGGACUUAUGGAGUCAUUGCUAAAGUCAACUAUACAUACUCCUUUUUGACUAUGCAGUUACUAUUCUUAUUAAAUGAACAUUUAUUCAGCUCUAAACAUGGUGAAGUGCAUGGCUGGAGGAGGAUGUCUGCUCUUUAGUUCCUUUGACUUCAGUAUCAUUAUUCUACUAAACCUCUCAGUAAAACUUGCACAAGGAACAGGAAAGCAGUGAAGGUACUCUUUAAAAAGCAAUUACCUGAACUCUGAUAUCCUCCGUCCAGAGAGAUGAAUGUGAAAUUCACAUGCCUCCUUAACGCCUUGUCUUUGAAAACAAGUGCAAAACAUUUAUGAAUAAAAACAAUAGGUUGUUUCAUUUCUAGACUGUUGUUAUCUGCUAUUUAUUUUAAGGACAACCUACCAGAGAGACAAAUACAGAUAGAUUUUAGUUUGUUUAGAUUUCAUUUUUAAUUACUUCCUUUUACUUGUUAUGGAUUUCAGUUUGAUUAAGAACCCAUAGUGGAUGCUGUAGUGUGCUGCCCAGGUUCCGCUUCCAGGAAUGAAUGUUGAGAGAUUUAUCGUUUGAUAGUGCUCAGUUGAGACCCUCUCCAGAAAAAGUCCUUAGCCAAAGAGAUCAACCCCGCUCAAGGCCACAUCCUUUCCCUGAGGUCAGACUGCAUUGAAUGACUGGUUGACUUCUCCAGGUAGGGGCACAAAGAUCCCACCCCUUUGCAUAAAAGCAGGACAACCCUGAUGGCACCAUCCCUGCUCCAGAGAACCCACAUGAUUGGAAGAGACUUUUUGUGACUUCAUCCAAUUUAAACAUUCCCUUUUCCUAAUUCUUCUUCUUAAAGUCCCCUACAAACUUUCCUAAUCAACUUCCUGCAUGAACAUAUCUGCUUCAUGGAGAACUAACUUAAAACAACACCCUUGUAUACACAGUAACGUGUAAGUUUGAAAAUCACAGUCAUCUUUUGACACCCUAGACCAAUAUCUCAAAAAGAAAGUUUAGGGUGUGGGAUGGAGUGAGACUGAUAGGUAACAAUCAUAAAAGUCUUUUCUCCAGGGGAUGCAUAAUAGCUGUAGAAUCCGAGAGUUCUCAGUCAACAGAAAUCUUCCCAUGAAGUAACUAAGUGAUCUACUGCAAGCAACAGAGUAUGGCUGAAAGAGCACUGGACAGGAAGAAGACACUUGCUGUUCCUUUAUCCAGUGUGGGACCUUGCUCAAGUUGACAUCUUCAGGAGAGACUGGGCUAUGUUCUCUAAGUCACUUCUGAUCCCAUGAUUUUUUCCCCAAGCUUGUGGAAGAACUAUUACUUAUACUUAGCUGUUAAAAAUUAUGAGGACAAGACUUAUUUUUUUACAGUUUUCUUCAAUGAGAACUCCAAAGGUCACACAACAGGAAUGAAUGACAUAUUUGAAAAAAGGACAAUAAUUCACACCCGCAAAGAGGUGUCAAAGCAGCCACAACAUUUCUAAAGAAUCGGCCCUCAGAGGGAAGACAGUGUAGUGAGACCAUGAGGAGGAGUCUGAGAAGAUGUUACGUCAAUGAGCAGAAAAGCAACCACAACAGGCAUUCCUCCUUGAAGAUUGGUGGUGUUUCUGUGGACCACGCGCAUCAGAUUCAUGUGGGCAUUAAAAGUGGUGGUUCCUGGACCUGCCCAGGCAGAACCCUUAGGAAGCUGCACUUUUACCAAGCUCCUCAGACGACUGGAAACACGUGCAUGGUUGAGAAUCCCCACUGAGGGGGGGUGGUUUUGAGUGUAUUUGGGGAAGAAAAGAAAAGCUUUUGUUCUGUCAAGUUAAGCCCAGCCUAGGGCUCAUGGACCUAAAUCCGACCUGAAGCGUGGAAAUUACUCUUCACUAGGUAGGUGUACAAGGUUCAAUUCAACCCCUGGGAAUGAUUGCAACAAGUCAAGAAGUUACCUGGCAAAGUAUCAAUGACAGCUCUCACCUUAAAAAGAGGCUGUGUGUUGUCCACAGCAAAGAAUUUAGAUUGUUUCAAACUCUCUCUGAUAUGUCUUCCCACAUAAGCAGAGAAAAGGGUUGGUUAUUGCAUCUUUACACCUUUAGUAUUUAUUGCACAUAAAAUACAAUGACUCCAAUAAUGUGGAACACUAUGUUCCCAGGACACUUGGACACAUUUUUUUUUUAAUGACAAAAUUAAUUUACUUCAGGCUAAAAUAGUCCUUCAACUUAAUGGUUGAAUGAUUUCAAAAAUUCUCCUGGUCUCCUAAAUAUUCAAUCACCUGCUUUCUCUUUCUCCGAAAUUCUUUUAGCUUUUAAUAACCUUGAAACUAUUUGGUAGUUAAACUGUUAUGACCUUGCAUUGUUAGAUAACUUGCAAUGCCUUACUACCCAGUCAAAUUAUAAAUUUCUAGAGAGGAGAUACAAGUAUUACUUAGCUAGAAUCAUAGCCCUAAUAAGGGCUAAUAAUAGCCUAAUCAUAGCUAAUAAGGCUGUGAAACUCUUUGAGAGUUAGAAUGUAUGUGAAUCUUAUAUCUGUAUCCUUAGUAUCUGGUACCAUGCUUGGAAUGUAAGUAGGUGUUCAGGAAAUGUUUGUUGAAUUAAUAUGAAAUAUGAACAUUGAAGGCCAGCCUCGAGGGCAUGGACUUAAUGGUUACAGACGACAUAGCAUCAAGAGUCCUAAGGGACAGGGAGUUGCUCUCCAGCUGCCUAAUAAGAAUAUAUUAGAAGGCAAUUAAGAAGUGAACCAUCUCCUUAGGGAUGAGAAACUUGACCUGAUGGUUUAAAAUCUCUUUCCAGAAAAUUCUAUUAUUCAGACAGGCCCUUCAUAACUAAGAGUUAAUUGGCAUCAAAGAAAGUUUGCCAAGAGAACAAACCCCAAAAGUUACAAUAUUAGGUUGAGGUGGAAGUAAUUCUGAGUAACUGCAAAUACAAUGAGUUUUAUGGUUUGAUAUUAGAGAUUUCAAUUUCUUUAUAAAAUAGCAUUUGCAUACAAUGUCCAUUUGAACUAAUCUAAAUUUAUAGAAUGUUUCCACUCAUUCAGAAUCAAUUACUCAGUUUGCUAACAAGCUGAACAAAGGCCUGUCGAGAAGAAUACAGGUGAAACAUACUUGGAAGGCCACCUCCUGUUUUUCUCAGUGUAAAUACCAACCACAUUCCCUGUAUCAGACAGAGCAAGAGAUUUAUUUUCUUUACAUUUAAAAAGGGGUAAUUUUGGAAUUUUUGUUUGGAAACUAAUUUUUAACAUAAUAUCAUUUUUUCCCUCCAUGAAGAAGAGAUUGCAGGCAUUUCCCCUUCUAUUUUCAUUCCUAGUUUUC